GGGGGCGUAGCUCAGUUGGGAGAGCACCUGCUUUGCACGCAGGGGGUCAGCGGUUCGAACCCGCUCGUCUCCA
rnacentral:tRNA from 1 species